rnacentral:rRNA from 1 species
CACGUAGGGUGCGAGCGUUGUCCGGAAUUAUUGGGCGUAAAGAGCUCGUAGGCGGUUUGUCGCGUCUGCCGUGAAAGUCCGGGGCUCAACUCCGGAUCUGCGGUGGGUACGGGCAGACUAGAGUGCGGUAGGGGAGAUUGGAAUUCCUGGUGUAGCGGUGAAAUGCGCAGAUAUCAGGAGGAACACCGGUGGCGAAGGCGGGUCUCUGGGCCGAUACUGACGCUGAGGAGCGAAAGCGUGGGGAGCGAACAGG